UUCAAACACCGCAAACGAGAUACGUGGUUUGGUAGUUUCACCGUCGAUAUGGCUAAAGUUGCCGGGAUUAACCAUCCACCAAGAUUAGUUCUAGGGCAAGCAUGCGUCCCUGAAAUGGUUAGGAGGAACCAACAUCUAAAGCCAGGCAAUUGUGAUUGAAAAUUGUAAACUGUUCCUAAUUUUUUAUUUUUCAAAUUCCUAGGUUCUAGUUCAACAGUCCUCAGUCAGACAGCAGCUCAUUCCACAACAGCAAACACAACAACAGCAACUGCUGGUCCAGCCGGCAUCAUCAGCAUCUACUAAUGUAACUAAUUGGCAGCAGCAGUCACAGCAAGUGGUCCAACAGCAGCAAGUAGUGCAGCAAGUCGGUCAACAGCAAGUGGUUCAACAACAGCAGAUCGUGCAACAAGUUGUGCCCCAGCAGCAGGUUGUUCAACAGCAAGUUCCCCAACAGGGACAACCAGACCAGCAAUUACAAUUAAACCAUCCAACAACAGUCGUAUCGAACCAACAAAUGGCCCAAAUGACGUUGCAACGACAACAAUACAUUCAGCGAUUGCAGCAGAUCAAGCAGCAACAACAACAGCAACAGCAACAAGAGCAGCAACAAAGUGGAAACUCUGCUGUUAUGUAUUCGACCCAGGUGCAGUCCUCUCAGCAAAUUCAGUUAACACAGCAGUCUCAUCCUGUCCAGCAACAACAGCAACCUCCAGCUGUUCCUAUGGAAACCGAUCAGAUGACACCGCAAGAUGUUUUUAGUGUGAGUAAUUUUCUGAUUCUCCCUCUUUCUCUUACUGCAUCAUUUUGUCAUCCCUGAAUAGAUAUUUUCAUCAGUUUUUUAUUCAGAUUUCUCAAACUUGUAAUCUACUAUGGAAUGAAAUUUAUAAUGACUCAAUGACUCAUUAUCAUGCACCAAGUAGAAAAAGUGUGAAAACGUUAAAAGAUAGCACAAAAAGUUGCCUCGUUUUAAAUGAAACUAAUCGUAGGAAUACCAUUCUAGUCCAUCAAAAAAUUGAACAUGUGUUCAUUUCUCCCCAACGUUCAUAUAUCAUAAGUACUAAACAGUUUUUUUUCAGAUGAAGUGAGACUGUUUCAUUCCAAUUACAGUGUUGUAGAUCAACGUUAUCUACUGUCAGAAAGCUAAAAUGUGCUCCAUCUGCCCUCUUUGCUUAAAAAUUUGUCCGUGAAGUUGAUUUAAUCUAUAUCUUCCACCAGCAUAUUUUGAUCUCAGAUUUCUUAGAUCUGUGUAUUUUUUCAGUCAAUUUUAUCUUUUCCCUCCCUUUUUUUUUUUUUUUUUUUUUGUUCACUCAUUCAUCAACACAUCAUUUUGCCCUUGUAAGUCAUUUAUUUGUUCGAUAGUUCUUUCUCCUGCUCUGAAUUGCUGGUGACUUUCUUCCUUUGAGGAGGGAAGAGAAUUCUUCUCUGUUAAAACUUACAGAAUUUUAGCAGAAGAAGCGCUUAAGGGCAGGAUAAGGUGAAAAGUCUAUGGCAACAAGCUCUUUCAGCCCGCUGAUUGUCGAAACUUGUGUUAGGAUGACAAGACAUAGAAAUUCAUUUUAUUACUUAGUACAGGUAGAGCUAUGUUUUGUAUUAUCAUGUUGACCUAGCAAGGAAUAGUUUCAAAAGUCACUUUUGAGGUUAUUUAAAUAAGAUAGUUUAAAAUAAAACCUUGAAUCAACUUAUUUUGUCAAAACUUUUGAAAGGCUAGGAUUUUACCCAUGGUUGAUAUUGCCAAAGCGUGAACUAUACAAACCAUUUUUAAGCCAAAUUUCCAUGAGAAGUCAGGGAAAAGUCAAUUCGUAGGAUCAAAACCUUUAGUAAGUCAGAAAUUUUUAAAAUAAAUUGGAACCUGUUGUACUUCAUAAUAUUGAAGAACAGGAGAAAAUUCCCAGUAUCCUCGAUUGCACACAUGAUACGAAGCUCAAAUCUGUAUCAGUGGCUUAAGUCAGUGGUGUAAAUUGUAUUUUGUGCAUUGCACUUCUCACAUACUAAGAAAAAAUGCCGCAUGAGCCUUCAGACGUUGCCAUACUUCCUUUAAUUGAAAAAUAAUUUCCUGGAAAAAUGGUAAAUAUACUUCUUCCAAUUCUUCAGAAAUUUUUUUUGCAACUUAAGCUGAAAUAUUUGAAAAUAUCAAGGAAAAAUAUGCAUAACUUUUCAGAAAUUAAUGUUUUAUGAUGAAAAAUUAGGCAUUAUCUGAGGUUCAUACGGUGUUUUUCCUGAUUACAAGAGACUUGUCAUCAUUCAUUUUCCUAUGCUGGUUCAAUUUUUUUUUUAAUCAUGCACUUUUUUAUCACAUUAUGCAUUAUGUGUUGAACACUACGCUUGACCACAUUGGAUUGCCUUUUGAUACUUUUUGCCUAGCUCUCAGUCAUGCGACCCACUUCAUUUUUUUUUAGUUUGUAUAUAAUAUCACUGCUCAUCACUGUCAUAAAUGUAUAUAAUUUAGUACCGUCUCUCAAUAUCUUGGUGAAGUGAACUCUAAAGCUUAGUUGGUGGUUUAGUUGUUGCACUCAUUUCUCUCCUUCUCCUCUCAGAAGGUUAUUGGGCUUAGGAAGGACUGCUUUUCACUAAUCCUCGCUAACUAGGAGAGUCAAAUAGGAAUUUUUGUCCCUCUAAAAUCAUUCAUUUAUUUUAUUACCAAAUAUCCAUUGAGUUAAAGUCCUAGGAGAUUUUUAGGAUAACAUGAAUAAUUCGCUGAAACUUAAUUUAAUUAUCUUGACCAUUGGCAAUUUUACGAGUCAGCAACACUGUUUUUCUCCAUCCAUUGAAAAUUUCGAUAUUUCGAGAUAUCGAUCGAGAAUCGAUUGUUUUACAUACAUUUAAAUGGAGGAAAGAGAGUGUAACCAACUCUCAAGAAUUGCCAUUGACCUGGACGGAUUAACCUAGAAUCAGUUCAAAUGCAUUUCACGUUGCCAAAUUUGCCUGAAUGGUUUAUUGUUUGACGGAAUUAAACAACACAAUGCUUUGAAACUUGUUGUUAAUUGCUCGCAACUUAUACAGAAAGCACUCUCAAAAUUUCAAAUUGAAGUGUUGUUCAGUUUUCUGAUGAACAAUUGGACCAUGAGAGGAAAUUAGAUAAUGUGUGAUGCAGUCAGAUUGAUACUGGUUUGAUCCGUCCGAUAGUCCUUCUUUCUUCUCGUCAUAAUGAAAAAUUUCAGUAGUUUUUUUUUCAGCAAGGGAACAAAACGCAUCUCACCUAUUGUAUUUGGGAAACUAGGAAUGAAGAAAAGCGAGCGACACGAUGCACACGACGAACAGAAUAUAUUGAUAACAAGUACAAUUGCCCCAAGCAGGGCUGUCACCCUAGCAGGGGCUAAUCUCCCUGCUUACAGUACCAACCUAACGAUACAACAACUCUCCCCUAGUAGUUUUAAAAGUGGACACUUUUAAAAAUAGGACUAGGCAAUAGAGGAGAUAGCAAUUAUUGACCUAUCACAUACUAUAUUUGAUAGAAGUUUGAGAAAGGGGAAAAAAAAUUACAAGUUGAGUUCAAAAUAAUUAGGAUGGGCUGAAGCGAUUAGGUGGAUUGGAUUGUCUGAGUGACUGGCGCUGCGGCAACAGUAGACAUUCAUGAGUUUUGAGUUUGAGACUACGACCUCGACCACGAGAAAGAGUAGGUCGGACUAUGCUUGAAACUGGAGUAACAGGAACAUUUGCAUGUACAGGCUGUUCUUCAGGUGUAUAGAAGCCUAAAAAUUCUGGAGAACCGUCAUCGGAGCUUGGAGAAUUACCAGUUGAUCGAACUUCCAAAGUGCUGAGAGGAGGUGUAAGGGUAGCUUUAUUGGAAUUACUUUGCGUAGCUGGUAUAUCUUGAUGUGGAAGUUGAGCUUGAUUAUCGGAAGACUUAAGAGAAGAUUUUUGUCUGAAGGAUCUAUAACGAGUGUUGUAGGUGGGUGAAUUUGUAGUGGAGCUGCAAUUUUCAUUGAUGUAAAAAUGAACUUUCUUACCACAUGAACGUAAUUGGUCGAUGUGACGUUUAUGGAUUCGAUUGUCAUGUAGAAUUUCGUAGUGUAAUUCACCUAUUUUGGAUUGAACUAGGCCUUGAUACCAUCGACUUGCUCCAUUGUAAACUCGAAACAUCACUUUGUCUCCGAUUUGAAAUGACCGGUAUUUUGAUUUCAGAUUUUUCAGAAUGCAUUUUCCUGAAGGUUGAUGGUUAACUGCUGUGGAGAUGGAUGGAAUUUGGAUCGAUUGCCGUUUUGACGGGGUCACAAGAUCUAUUCUUGUUUAAUGGUUCGACCCAAAAAAAGUUGUGACGGAGGUUUACCAGUUGUUUGAUGGGGUGCUCGGUGAUAUCUUUGGAGAUAAUUAUCAAUCAUGGAUUGAAGAUUGUUCGGAGUCGCUCGGAGGUUGAGGAUUGCUUGUUUUACUGUAUGAACAUAACGUUCUACUUGCCCAUUUGUGGCUGGAUGAUAGGGCGCUGAAAAUUUGUGAAAGCGCACGCCCUGAGAUUUCAAAAAUUUCCUGAACAAAUCUGACUUAAACUGCGGACCGUUAUCACUAACAACCGUUUCUGGAAUACCAUAGAGUGCAAAAAGUGAAUUGAGAUGUUUCAUGGUUGCUUCCGAUGUCAUUUUGUUGGUUACAAAAACUUGAGUCCAUUUGGAGUAUGCAUCAACGACUAAUAGCAAGUAUUUACCAUGAAGCGGUCCCGCAUAGUCUAGGUGGAUGCGGUUCCAAGGUCCUUCUGGAUAUUCCCAGUGAUGCGUGUUACACUUUGCUGGCAUUUUUGCGUUUGAUAAACACGUAGUGCAGUUUUUUGCUGUUUGUUCAAUAUCUCUGUCAAUGUUCUUCCAAUAGACAAGUGAGCGGGCGAUACCCUUCAUUUUUGUUAUUCCUAUAUGACCAAGAUGGAGUUCUUUUAGGAAUUUUUCUCUUAAACUUGUGGGAACAACCACUCGAUGUCCGAACAUUAGGCAACCACAGGCUAAGGUGAAGUCUGUCUCAUUCCCUUUGAAACCAAGAGCUGGAAGGUCUUCAUUAUUUUCAAUUGCUUUUUUUAUUCUAGAAAGAUGAUGAUCCUUCUGUGUUUCGACAGCGAUUUCAUUCGCUGUAGUGGGUAAUUGGAGAAUUUGGUCAUGGACAAAGCGAUCAAAAUCAUCUUGAACAUUUUUAACAGAAUCACUGGGGUGACUAAUUCUAGAUAAAUAGUCAGCAUUUGCGUUAGCAGCAGAAGUUUUGAGCUUGAGGUCAUACGAGAAAUUUGAUAAGUAUGAAGCGUAAUUGUUAAGUCUUGAGAGUGAGAACUUUGGGAGAAGCGCAUCAGGUGCAAAUAUGUGCGAUACAGCUUUAUUAUCACAGUACAAGGUGAAGUGACGUCCGUAGACAUACUGAAAAAAUUUCUUCACGCCCCAUACAACGGCUAAUGCCUCUCUAUCGUUCUGGGGAUAAGCACUUUCUGUGGGGGAAAGCGCUCUGCUGGCAUAAGCGAUUGGUUUUUCUACAUUGCCUGGGAGUUGGUGCGAUAAGACCGCUCCCAAACCUGUAGGACUUGCAUCUACUGCCAAAAUUAGGGGCGUAUUCGGGUCAUAGGGUACAAGUACUCGUUCAGAGACCAAUUCGGUUUUAAGUUUUUGAAAUGAUUCAAGGCCUUCUUCGGUCCAAGAGAGUUCGCCGGAGCGAGCAAUCUUGAGCAUUUCACGGAGUGGGUGUGUCAGAGAAGAUAAGUGUGGAAUAAAUGAAUGGUAAUAAGUGACCUUACCAAUGAAGGAUUUAAUUCAUCAGAACUGGUCGGCAGUUGUGCUUGGAGAACAGCUUCGAUGUGCUUGUUUAGCUUGUGCAGGCCCUCGCCGUCAA
rnacentral:lncRNA from 1 species